UACAGAGGUGGCAAGCGUUGUUCGGAAUUACUGGGCGUAAAGGGCUCGUAGGCGGCCAACUAAGUCAUACGUGAAAUCCCUCGGCUUAACCGGGGAACUGCGUCUGAUACUGGAUGGCUUGAGAUUGGGAGAGGGAUGCGGAAUUCCAGGUGUAGCGGUGAAAUGCGUAGAUAUCUGGAGGAACACCGGUGGCGAAGGCGGCAUCCUGGACCAACACUGACGCUGAGGAGCGAAAGCGUGGGGAGCGAACAGG
rnacentral:rRNA from 1 species